UACGUAGGGUCCGAGCGUUGUCCGGAAUUAUUGGGCGUAAAGAGCUCGUAGGCGGUUUGUCGCGUCUGCUGUGAAAUCCCGAGGCUCAACCUCGGGUCUGCAGUGGGUACGGGCAGACUGGAGUGCGGUAGGGGAGAAUGGAAUUCCUGGUGUAGCGGUGGAAUGCGCAGAUAUCAGGAGGAACACCGAUGGCGAAGGCAGUUCUCUGGGCCGUAGCUGACGCUGAGGAGCGAAAGCGUGGGGAGCGAACAGG
rnacentral:rRNA from 1 species